rnacentral:rRNA from 1 species
AGAGCACAGGGUGGAUGCCCAGGCACCAAACGCCGAUGAAAGACGUGGCAAGCUGCGAAAAGUCACGGGGAACCGCAAGCAGGUAUUGAUCCGUGAACGUCUGAAUGGGGAAACCCGGCGGGUUAACAGCCCGUCACUAUUAACUGAAUCAAUAGGUUAAUAGAGGGAACGCGGGGAACUGAAACAUCUCAGUACCCGUAGGAAGAGAAAAUAAAGAAUGAUUUCCUAAGUAGCGGCGAGCGAACGGGAAAGAGGCCAAACCGAAGGGCUUGCUCUUCGGGGUUGUGGAUCAGCAAAAAGGACGGAAGACCUUAGCAGAAGAGGAUUGGAAAGUCCCGCCAGAGAGGGUAAAAGCCCCUUACGCGAAAAGGUCAAACGACGAGCUGACACCAGAGUACCGCAGGACACGAGAAAUCCGGUGGGAAGCCGGGAGGACCACCUCCCAAGCCUAAAUACGAAUUGGUGACCGAUAGCGCAUAGUACCGUGAGGGAAAGGUGAAAAGAACCCCGGGAGGGGAGUGAAAAAGAACCUGAAACCCUGUGUUUACAAGCAGUGAAAGUGCGAGCAAGGCACGAUCACGUACUUUUUGUAGAACGGACCGGCGAGUUACGUUAUGCAGCAAGGUUAAGAACUGAAGGUUCGGAGCCGAAGCGAAAGCGAGUCUGAACAGGGCGAUAGUUGCAUGACGUAGACCCGAAACCGGGUGACCUAUCCAUGAGCAGGUUGAAGUGGAGGUAAAGCUCCAUGGAGGACCGAACCAGACGUCUGUUGAAAAAGGCGGGGAUGACUUGUGGAUAGGGGAGAAAUUCCAAUCGAACCCGGAGAUAGCUGGUUCUCCUCGAAAUAGCUUUAGGGCUAGCCUCAUGGAUCAUUGAUGGGGGUAGAGCACUGAAUGUGCGCGGGGGCCACAAAGCCUACCAAACGCUAUCAAACUUCGAAUACCAUACAAUGCAGACCAUGGGAGUCAGUCCGCGAGAGAUAAGUUCCGCGGGCAAAAGGGGAACACCCCAGAUCAACCGCUAAGGUCCCCAAGUUCACGUUAAGUGGAGAAGGAUGUGGAAUUGCACAGACAACCAGGAUGUUGGCUCAGAAGCAGCCACACAUUUAAAGAGUGCGUAAUAGCUCACUGGUCGAGUGAUUGUGCGCCGAAGAUGUCCGGGGCUAAACGUGACACCGAAGCGAUGGGUGCAUCUGAAAGGAUGCGCGGUAGAGGAGCAAUGUGCAGAGGCAGAAGCCGUAUCGAGAGGCACGGUGGACACUGCACAAGAGAGAAUGCCGGUAUGAGUAGCGAGAGGCAUGCGAGAAACAUGCCCGUCGAAAGCCCAAGGUUUCCUGGGGAAGGUUCAUCCGCCCAGGGUAAGUCGGGGCCUAAGCCGAGGACGGAAGUCGUAGGCGAUGGACAGCAGGUGUAGAUUCCUGCACUACCGAUGGAAUGAAGCAGUGACACAGAAGGAUAACUCGAGCAGGGUGAUGGUCAACCCUGUGCAAGCAUCAAGGUUGGGUUGUAGUGAAGUACGCAAUCCUAUAAGCUGAGGUGUGAUGCGGACCGAAAUUUCAGUAGGGAAGCGAGUGAGUUCACGCUGGCGAGAAAAGCUGCUAGUACAUCCAAAGGUACCCGUACCGGAAACCGACGCAGGUGGGCGAGGAGAGAAUCCUGAGACGAACGGGAGAACCCUUGUUAAGGAACUCGGCAAAAUGACCCCGUAACUUCGGGAUAAGGGGUGCCUGCGAGAGCAGGCCGCAGAGAAUAGUCACAAGCGACUGUUUAGCAAAAACACAGGUAUCUGCGAAAGCGAGAGCUGACGUAUAGGUGCUGACACCUGCCCGGUGCUGGAAGGUUAAGGGAACAUGUUAGAGCAAUCGAAGCAUCGAACCGAAGCCCCAGUAAACGGCGGCCGUAACUAUAACGGUCCUAAGGUAGCGAAAUUCCUUGUCGGGUAAGUUCCGACCCGCACGAAUGGUGUAACGACUUGUGAGCUGUCUCAACAGGGGGCCCGGUGAAAUUGAAGUAUGGGUGAAGAUGCCCAUUACCCGCGACUGGACGGAGAGACCCCGUAGAGCUUUACUGCAGCCUGAUAUUGAGUUUCGGUAACUGAUGCACAGGAUAGGUGGGAGUCUGAGAGACACGGGUUUCGGCUCGUGUGGAGACGCUGUUGGGAUACCACUCUUCGGUUACUGAAAUUCUAACAUAGCUCUGUGAAACCAGAGGAUGGACAGUGUCAGGUGGACAGUUUGACUGGGGCGGUCGCCUCCGAAAGAGUAACGGAGGCGCCCAAAGGUACCCUCAGAAUGGAUGGAAACCAUUCGAAGA